rnacentral:tRNA from 1 species
GACUGGAUAGCCUAGCGGCAAAGGGAUCACAUUGACAAUGCUGAGGUCCCAGGUUCAAAUCCUGGUCUAGUCA